UCCCCCUUAGGAGUUGAAUGUAUGUCUACACUGGGCAGCUUAUGCAGGAAAUGUGGACAUCGCAGAGAUGGUGUUGAACGCCGGUUGUUCCCUUGCCUCAGUAAAUGUGCAUGGCGACACGCCACUCCACAUUGCCGCAAGAGAAGGCUACUUGGAAUGUGUUACCUUGUUUCUCUCGAGAGGUGCAGAUAUCGACACGAUUAACAGGGAGGGAGACACACCGCUCACCCUUGCGCGCCCCGACACGCCGGUAUGGGUUGCGCUCCAGAUCAACAGGAAGAUACGAAGGGGAAUAACCAAUCGCAUGCUUAGG